CACAAGGGGUGAAGCCUGCGGUUCAAUUGGAGUCAACGCCAGAAAUCUUACCCGGAGAGACAGCAGAAUGAAGGUCAAGCUGAAGACUUUACCAGACAAGCUGAGAGGUGGUGCAUGGCCGUCGCCAGCUCGUGCUGUGAGAUGUCCUGUUAAGUCAGGUAACGAGCGAGAUCCCUGCCACUAGUUGCUAUCAUUAUUCUCAGGAAUAGUGGAGCGAAUUAGUGGGACUGCCGUUGUUAAAACGGAGGAAGGAGGGGGCCACGGCAGGUCAGUAUGCCCCGAAACUCUGGGGCCACACGCGGGCUGCAAUGGUAGUGACAAUGAGUUCCAAACUCGAAAGAGAGUGGCAAUCUCUAAACGCUACCACAGUUAUGACUGAGGGCUGUAACUCGCCCUCACGAAUAUGGAAUCCCUAGUAACCGCGUGUCAUUACCGCGCGGUGAAUACGUCCCUGCUCCUUGCACACACCGCCCGUCGUUUCAUCGAAGUUUGCUUUUAGCGAGGUGAUGUUUAAUUGGCAUUAUCGAACUUGAGGUAAGCGACGAGGGAAAAGUCGUAACAAGGUGACCGUAGGGGAACCUGCGGUCGGAUCACCUCCUU
rnacentral:rRNA from 1 species